GAAGAAAAUGCUUGAGAAAAUAAGGAAAAAGAGAAAGCGAGAGAGACAUCCAAAGUGGCCAUGGUGUAGCAGAUUGCUGCAGAUGGUUUCAAUAGUCCUGCUGAAUGCUCCUCGUCUGUGCCUGCAAGAGGAACUCAAGGCUUUAUGUAUGGCCAUUGCUGUGACCUAGUGUGAUGCUCUACUUUUCCACUGAACUCUGCUUGCUCUAACUGAGGACCUUAGCUAUAAUUUAGCCUUUUCUUUUUGUAAGUAACUACACAUAGUUGAGACAAAAUUAUUUUGAUGUUUAAAAAACAAUUUUAUUAACCAGGCGGUGGUGGCGCACGCCUUUAAUCCCAGCACUUGGGAGGCAGAGGCAGGCGGAUUUCUGAGUACGAGGCCAGCCUGCUCUACAAAGUGAGUUCCAGGACAGCCAGGGCUACACAGAGAAACCCUGUCUUGAAAACAAACAAACAAGCAAAAGAAAAAACAACAACAAAACUUUGAUCAAAAGUUUGUCUUUCUAAUGUUCUCCUAUGUGAUUACAUUAUAAAGUACAUAGAAUCAUAUUGGCUUACUCCAAAUGCCAGCUAUCUGAAACGUUUUAGAACAUAUAAAUUCAGUCCCUAUGACAGUACAUUCUACUUCAUUAGUUACUAAUGUUAGGGAAUUGGGAUCUGUUCAUCUGAUCUUUCAACUUUUUUCUGAAACAAUUGUUUCAAUAAUAUUGAUGCUGCUGGGCUGGUGAGAUGGCUC
rnacentral:lncRNA from 1 species